rnacentral:misc_RNA from 1 species
UUUCCGUAGGUGAACCUGCGGAAGGAUCAUUAAUGAAAUGCAAGGACGCUCUUUUUAGAGGUCCGACCCAAAUCAUUUUCCUUUACACUGUGCACAUACUACUUUUUUACACCAAUUUUUAACACAUCAGUUUUAAGAAUGUAAAUCAAGUCUCGAAAGAGCAAUAAAUAAAACAAAACUUUCAGCAACGGAUCUCUUGGCUCUCGCAUCGAUGAAGAACGCAGC